rnacentral:lncRNA from 1 species
AGCUAGCUUCCAAAGGCUCUUAGGUUUCUUUUCUCACUAGACAACAAACUUUCACCCCUCUUGGUCUCCCACAAAAGACGUCCAAAAACUCCAAUGCUAGGUUGACUCUUCUUUUCUCUCACCAACUUGGUUGCUCUUCAAGAGUGUCUCUCCAACUCACGGUUCUUCCUUUCUUUUCCACUCUCCAAGUGUUUUGUUUUUCC